rnacentral:rRNA from 1 species
GAUGAACGCUGGCUACAGGCUUAACACAUGCAAGUCGAGGGGAAACGACGGGGAAGCUUGCUUCCCCGGGCGUCGACCGGCGCACGGGUGAGUAACGCGUAUCCAACCUGCCUCUGACUGAGGGAUAACCCGUCGAAAGUCGGCCUAAUACCUCAUGGCAUCGUCUGCGGGCAUCCAACGACGAUUAAAGAUUUCAUCGGUCAGAGAUGGGGAUGCGUCUGAUUAGCUUGUUGGCGGGGUAACGGCCCACCAAGGCGACGAUCAGUAGGGGUUCUGAGAGGAAGGUCCCCCACAUUGGAACUGAGACACGGUCCAAACUCCUACGGGAGGCAGCAGUGAGGAAUAUUGGUCAAUGGGCGAGAGCCUGAACCAGCCAAGUAGCGUGCAGGAUGACGGCCCUAUGGGUUGUAAACUGCUUUUAGGCGGGGAGAAAGUGAGGGACGUGUCCUUCAUUGCAGGUACCGCAUGAAUAAGGACCGGCUAAUUCCGUG